UACGUAGGGGGCAAGCGUUGUCCGGAUUCAUUGGGCGUAAAGCGCGUGUAGGCGGCCCGGUAGGUCGGUUGUGAAAACUGGAGGCUCAACCUUCAGAGGUCGACCGAAACCAUCUGGCUAGAGUCCGGGAGAGGAGAGUGGAAUUCCUGGUGUAGCGGUGAAAUGCGCAGAUAUCAGGAAGAACACCCGUGGCGAAAGCGGCUCUCUGGAACGGUACUGACGCUGAGACGCGAAAGCGUGGGGAGCGAACAGG
rnacentral:rRNA from 1 species